rnacentral:rRNA from 1 species
GACGAACGCUGGCGGCGUGCCUAAUACAUGCAAGUAGAACGCACAGUUUAUACUGUAGCUUGCUACACCAUAGACUGUGAGUUGCGAACGGGUGAGUAACGCGUAGGUAACCUGCCUGGUAGCGGGGGAUAACUAUUGGAAACGCUAGCUGAUACCGCAUAAUAUUGAUUAUUGCAUGAUAAUUAAUUGAAAGGUUCAAUUUCACCACUACCAGAUGGACCUGCGUUGUAUUAGCUAGUAGGUGAGGUAACGGCUCACCUAGGCGACGAUACAUAGCCGACCUGGGGGGGUGGUCGGCCACACUGGGACUGGGACACGGCCCAGACUCCUACGGGAGGCAGCAGUAGGGGAUCUUCGGAAAUGGACGGAAGUCUGACCGAGGAACGCCGCGUGAGUGAAGAAGGUUUUCGGGUCGUAAAGCUCUGUUGUAAGGGAAGAACGGGUGGGAGAGUGGAAAGUUCACACUGUGACGGUAUCUUACCAGAAAGAGACGGCUAACUACGUG